rnacentral:rRNA from 1 species
UGUGGCUUAAUUUGACUCAACGCGGGAAAUCUUACCGGGUCCGGACACACUGAGGAUUGACAGGCAAUAUUAGCACUUAGCUUCUUGCGACGUGUUAUGUUAAAUAUGCUAGUCCUUUCAUGAUUAUGUGAUAGGUGGUGCAUGGCCGUUCUUAGUUCGUGGAGUGAUCUGUCUGCUUAAUUGCGUUUCACCAAGGGCCUAUAAUUUUACGUGUGUUGCGGCACUUUGACCCCUCUUUUUUUAAAGAGCGCGUGUCUUGGUUUGCUUAGCUCGCACAAUUAGGUCCUGAAAGCAACGAACGUGACCGCAACCUCUUGUUGCCUUUAUACCAAACGUGCAUAUGCAAUUUUUUAAUUGCUUUGCGCGCAAAAAGGCUUUUUAAACUAGAGGGACCGCUGUUACUUUCUUAAACCAGAGGAAGGUUGCGGCAAUAACAGGUCUGUGAUGC